rnacentral:rRNA from 1 species
CCCCUUCUCGUGCCGCCGCCGCCGCCGCCCUCCGCUCCGUCGGCCGACCUCCGUCCCCGGCGCCGGCGGAGACGACGGGGAGCAGCCCCCUCGCCGUGCCUGCGCGGGCACGAGCCACCACCCGAUCCGCUCGCGCCGUACCUACUGGAUAAAGGCAAGAGUUCUGUUGGUGCAUUGAGAAGUGACACUGCAAUUUUCUUAGAUAACAGAUGAGGCGAGCUCGGAGGCGUACGUGGGUGGGAUGACUGAUGAGGGAUGAUAGUGACAUUGAUGAACUUUCUACGGGCGUGUUGGAGACCUUCAUCCAACCGGCAUGCCCGGACAGGCUCAGAUGCUACCGGUAGGCAGGACGGACUUCUAUGGUACAAGGACACUGGGGAGCAUGUAAAUGGGGACUUCUCCAUGGCUGUUGUCCAGGCCAAUAACCUACUUGAGGACCAGUGUCAGAUUGAGUCGGGCCCGUUGAGCUUUCUCGACUCUGGCCCAUACGGCACUUUCGUCGGGGUUUACGAUGGGCACGGUGGACCAGAGACAGCUUGCUACAUCAACGAUAACCUCUUCAACCAUCUUAAAAGGUUCGCUUCGGAACAAAAUUCAAUGUCUGCUGAUGUACUGAAGAAAGCAUAUGAAGCUACAGAAGAUGGAUUCUUCUCUAUCGUCACCAAGCAAUGGCCUGUCAAGCCUCAAAUAGCGGCUGUUGGCUCAUGCUGUCUGGUUGGUGUUAUCUGUGGUGGCAUGCUUUAUGUUGCCAAUGUUGGGGAUUCUCGUGCUGUUCUAGGAAAACAUGUUAAAGCUACUGGAGAAGUAUUGGCGGUCCAACUAUCCGCAGAGCAUAAUGUCAGCAUUGAGCCAGUGAGAAAAGAAUUGCAGUCAAUGCACCCCGAAGAUAGGCAUGUUGUUGUUCUCAAGCACAAUGUUUGGCGUGUAAAAGGCCUAAUUCAGGUCUGCAGAUCGAUCGGUGAUGCCUAUCUGAAAAAACAAGAGUUCAACCGGGAACCUCUGUAUGCAAAAUUCCGUCUUCGUGAACCUUUUAACAGGCCCAUACUAAGUUCAGAACCAUCCAUUUGUGUGCAACCAAUACAGCCACAGGAUGAGUUUAUCAUAUUUGCAUCUGAUGGACUUUGGGAGCACUUAACCAACCAGGAGGCUGUUGACAUUGUUCAAAGUAGCCCUCGUAGUGGGAGCGCUAGGAGGCUCAUAAAAUCAGCCUUGCUAGAAGCAGCCAAGAAAAGAGAGAUGAGGUAUUCCGAUCUCAAGAAGAUUGACCGAGGUGUUCGUCGCCACUUCCACGACGACAUAACCGUCAUCAUACUCUACCUCGACUCGAGCCUCGUAAGCAGGGCGAGCACCCACAGGGGCCCUGCUGUUUCCCUAAGAGGCGCCGGCGUGAGCCUGCGCAGCAGCACGCUCGCACCUUAUGGGUCGCAGAUGUAACAGGUGCCAGCGGUGUCGGCCAAGAUCAUCAUCCCCUUGAUUAAUGGUUAAGAAAGAAUGGAGAGGCACAGACAGAGGGCCUCUUCUUCUCCAGGGCUUCUAUCAAUCUCCGUCAUGAAAAGACUUUGAUCAUAGUAAUGUAUGUACUUCGUUUCGAGAUUGACCGAGGAAGAAUAGGUAGGUGUCGUUUGUUGUGCUGCUGCUGAAAAGGCAGAUGUCUCUUGUUGUUGUUCGCCCCCUGCAGGAAUUUUAAUUUUAACACCGGUAGUGCAUAUAAUGAUAUAUGGUAUAAUAAUGGGCCCAGGAGGAGUAACUUAUUGACUGAUGUCGUGGACUCCAUACAUAUGUAUGUAUGCAUGUAUGUGUGCUAUUCUGACUCUGUUAUUUAUUUAUUUAUUGACCAA